rnacentral:siRNA from 1 species
UCGUAGUGCACUUUCAUCACAG